rnacentral:rRNA from 1 species
UACGGGGGGGGCAAGCGUUGUUCGGAAUUACUGGGCGUAAAGGGUGCGUAGGCGGUUCACUAAGUUGGAUGUGAAAACUAUGGGCUCAACUCAUAGCUUGCAUCCAAUACUGAUGGACUAGAGUUCUGGAGGGGGUAGCGGAAUUCCUGGUGUAGCGGUGAAAUGCGUAGAUAUCAGGAGGAACACCGGUGGCGAAGGCGGCUACCUGGACAGAGUCUGACGCUGAGGCACGAAAGCUAGGGGGAGCAAACAGGAUUAGAAACCCCU